rnacentral:rRNA from 1 species
UACGGAGGGUGCAAGCGUUAUCCGGAUUCACUGGGUUUAAAGGGUGCGUAGGAGGGCAGGUAAGUCAGUGGUGAAAUCUCCAAGCUUAACUUGGAAACUGCCGUUGAUACUAUCUGUCUUGAAUACCGUGGAGGUGAGCGGAAUAUGUCAUGUAGCGGUGAAAUGCUUAGAUAUGACAUAGAACACCAAUUGCGAAGGCAGCUCGCUACACGAAUAUUGACACUGAUGCACGAAAGCGUGGGGAUCAAACAGG